UACGUAGGAGACGAGCGUUGUCCGGAGUUACUGGGCGUAAAGGGUGCGCAGGCGGCUUGGCGCGUCGCAAGUGAAAUCUCCUGGCUCAACUGGGAGGGUGGUUGCGAGACGGCUAAGCUUGAGGCUUGGAGAGGGGCGUGGAAUUCCGGGUGGAGCGGUGAAAUGCGUAGAGAUCCGGAGGAACACCGACGGCGAAGGCAGCGCCCUGGACAAGACCUGACGCUCAGGCACGAAAGCUCGGGGAG
rnacentral:rRNA from 1 species